GUUAAACCUUUCUUGCAUCUUCUCAAUCCUUGUCUCCAGGCUAUUUAUCUGUGAUUCCAUUUUAAUUUCAAGAUUUUGGAUCAAUUUCACUAUCAUUAUUUGGAAUUCUUUAUCAGUGUAUUUUCUUGUAUGGUCUUCCCUGGUGGCUCAGUGGUAAAGAAACCCCCUGACAAUGCAGGAGAUGCAGGCUUGAUCCCUGGGUCAGGAAGAUCCCCUGGAGAAGAAAUGGCAACACACUCUAGUAUUCUUGCCUGGGAAAUCCAAUGGACAGAGAGCCUGCAUAUAGUUGGGUUUCUUUAUGACCUGGGUUUGAUCCCUGGAUCGGGAAGAUCCUCUGGAGAAGGGAAUGGCAAUCCUCUUCAGUAUUCCUGUCUGGAAAAUACCAUGGACCGAGAAGCCUGGGCUGGAGUCGCCCGGGCGGACAGACACAGGCGCACAGCAGUCUUCUCCCACACAAGCCUGGAAUGGCAACAGAGCGCGGCUGCCGAAGAAAGAAAAGCCGUUUCAGAGCUGUGGGGUGGCGUGGGGGCGUGUGUAGCAGGGUGAGGGAGUCAUUCCUCUCCUCCUCCAUCCAAGGAUGCAUCCAGCACAUCUUUUUUUUUUUAAUUGAUUUCUCUCGAGUGGGAGGCAAAACCCCUCAGA
ensembl:lncRNA